CCCCGGUGCGGCCGCGCUGCUGCACGGCGAUUUCCUUGGGGCGCCGCAAACAAAGCUGAAACCCCGUAGGGCGUUUGGCCUGAGGGGGAGAAUGGAGAAGCAGCUUCCAGCGACUGGGAGGCUACGAGCCCUAGCGCCGGCCCCAGGCUCAAAGCCCCAAGUCAGUAGGGCCGCUAAUGUACGUCAAUGCUUCGCCCAUCGGGGCUUUUACAGACAAAAUGGCUGGGGCUGAAGACACCGCUUCAGUUCCAAGGAGUUGUUUUUGGCUUUGCUUGAUUUAAUAACAUGUUCUGUUUCUACUGUAAUGGGAGCUGCUGAGUACAAAGAUAACAAGUGCAACCAAUAAGGAGAUCAGCUUCUGAUGUCUGAGAUCACCAUGAAUUCCAAAUUGCACCAUUGCCACUUUCUCAGGAGGGAUGAGUCCAACCUGUGGACUCAAGUGAGCACUUUACCGUACCAUUACAUUUCCUCUGACGUCCAAUGGGCUGGAAAUUCCCCAAGGAGUUUGAGAUAAGUGCCCACGCUGCACUCCCUAGGUUUGCAGAUUUGCCAUCCACUCAGUAACAAGGGACAGGCUGUGCUGAGCUGAAGGGAUAAGGAAGAGAGAACUGCGUGAUAAAUAACUAAGGAGCUGCAUCACUGCAGGAAGAACACGCUAAAGUACACAUGAAAAAACAAACACACACAAACACACCAGGAGUGCAGAAAGAAACCAGCUGAAGGGGCAGCCCCUAGAAAUCUGCUCCAGCUCUGGGGCAGCUCUGACCCCAGCCCUGAAGAGACACAGUGAGACAGCCCCAUGUGGGCCCUGCAGAGAACUCAGCUCUGCGUGACUGGGGAUAUCACCUGUUUAGCUCUGGCCAGCUCUUGCAGUAACUGUUACAAAUUAAACUUUGUUCUUGUUUUAUCGUCAAAUCCCAGAAACAAGUCAGAACAAGUCUGUUUGGUAAGAAACUAUUCACUGACACAGUGUUCUGUAGACAGAAAAGAUUAAAUGCUCAACUUAGCUGGAGGGAACUAACUGCUCUAUGAGAUCUGGAGGCAGAAAAACGAGACCAGUAGCAGGAGGAGCUGCCAAUCAUAGAAUAUCAGGGUUGGAAGGGACCUCAGGAGGUCAUCUAGUCCAACCCCCUGUUCAAAGCAGG